UGCCCCAUGGCCCAGCUGGCUAAGGCGUCUGACUGUUAUCACAUGGCAAUCAGAAGAUCGAGAGUUCGAGCCUCUCUGGGGCAG
rnacentral:tRNA from 2 species